UAAUCUCACCUCCGGAAAUUUUUCUGGGAGUGGACUUGGACGUUGCUGUGUCACGGCUCGUCUCGAACGUCUCAGUGUGACCCGUUUGCAGGCGUCUACAGUGUGAUAGGUAUCUUCACUGUGUUAGUCUCUUCGGAGGCGCGCUCUCGGACGUGGGCUUCUAUGCUGCCAACCGUCUUCGGACAAUCUCUGACG
rnacentral:misc_RNA from 1 species